AAAACGAAUUCCCGGCUAGAAAUUGUAAGAUGGACCGUAAGUAUAAAAGACGAUUUAUUUUUAUACCGCGAUAUAUAAAUUUCGGGAGGAUUUUUCGACGAUAACAUAAUAUUUCGAAAACUGUAUUUUAAUACUGUAAGGUAUAUAAUUGAGGAACAGAAAUCAACUCUGCUAACCGCAUGCGAGUACCCGCGUAAUUCAAUUAAAAAGAUAUUAAUCGGUUAAAUAGGUGUAUAUGUAUAUUUUUGAUAACCCAGGGUUGGACGGUAUUUUCGA